AUUAGAUACCCUGGUAGUCCACGCCGUAAACGAUGAUUACUAGGUGUCGGUGGGUCAAGACCCAUCGGUGCCGUCGCAAACGCAGUAAGUAAUCCACCUGGGGAGUACGUUCGCAAGAAUGAAACUCAAAGGAAUUGACGGGGACCCGCACAAGCGGUGGAGCAUGUGGUUUAAUCCGAAGCAACGCGAAGAACCUUACCAAGUCGUGACAUCCCAUCGAAUAAAGGGUAAUGCCUUUAGUCCUUCGGGACGAUGGAGACAGGUGGUGCAUGGUUGUCGUCAGCUCGUGUCGUGAGAUGUUGGGUUAAGUCCCGCAACGAGCGCAACCCUUAUUCCCAGUAGCCAGCAAGUGAGGUUGGGCACUCUGGGGAGACUGCCGGGGACAACCCGGAGGAAGGUGGGGAUGACGUCAAAUCAUCAUGCCCCUUAUGAUUUGGGCUACACACGUGCUACAAUGGCGUAAACAGAGGGAGGCGAGCCCGCGAGGGGGAGCAAAUCCCAAAAAUAACGUCCCAGUUCGGAUUGUAGUCUGCAACCCGACUACAUGAAGCUGGAAUCGCUAGUAAUCGCGGAUCAGAAUGCCGCGGUGAAUACGUUCCCGGGUCUUGUACACACCGCCCGUCACACCAUGGGAGCCGGUAACGCCCGAAGUCAGUGACCCAACCGUAAGGAGGGAGCUGCCGAAGGCGGGACAGGUAACUGGGGUGAAGUCGUAACAAGGUAAC
rnacentral:rRNA from 1 species